rnacentral:rRNA from 1 species
UACAGAGGGUGCGAGCGCUGUCCGGAAUCACUGGGCGUAAAGGGCGCGUAGGCGGCUUGAUAAGGUUGCGGUGAAAGCCCGGGGCUCAACCCCGGGUCGGCCGUGGCAACUGUCGAGCUGGAGCACUGUAGAGGCAGGUGGAAUUCCGGGUGUAGCGGUGGAAUGCGUAGAGAUCCGGAAGAACACCGGUGGCGAAGGCGGCCUGCUGGGCAGUGGCUGACGCUGAGGCGCGACAGCGUGGGGAGCAAACAGG